CUGUCUGAAUAUGGGGGGACCAUCCUCCAAGGCUAAAUACUCCUGACUGACCGAUAGUGAACCAGUACCGUGAGGGAAAGGCGAAAAGAACCCCGGCGAGGGGAGUGAAAAAGAACCUGAAACCGUGUACGUACAAGCAGUGGGAGCACAGGUUUACCUGUGUGACUGCGUACCUUUUGUAUAAUGGGUCAGCGACUUAUAUUCUGUAGCAAGGUUAACCGAAUAGGGGAGCCGGAGGGAAACCGAGUCUUAAUUGGGCGUUAAGUUGCAGGGUAUAGACCCGAAACCCGGUGAUCUAGCCAUGGGCAGGUUGAAGGUUGGGUAACACUAACUGGAGGACCGAACCGACUAAUGUUGAAAAAUUAGCGGAUGACCUGUGGCUGGGGGUGAAAGGCCAAUCAAACCGGGAGAUAGCUGGUUCUCCCCGAAAGCUAUUUAGGUAGCGCCUCGUGAAUUCAUCUCCGGGGGUAGAGCACUGUUUCGGCUAGGGGGCCAUCCCGGCUUACCAACCCGAUGCAAACUGCGAAUACCGGAGAAUGUUAUCACGGGAGACACACGGCGGGUGCUAACGUCCGUCGUGAAGAGGGAAACAACCCAGACCGCCAGCUAAGGUCCCAAAGUCAUGGUUAAGUGGGAAACGAUGUGGGAAGGCCCAGACAGCCAGGAUGUUGGCUUAGAAGCAGCCAUCAUUUAAAGAAAGCGUAAUAGCUCACUGGUCGAGUCGGCCUGCGCGGAAGAUGUAACGGGGCUAAACCAUGCACCGAAGCUGCGGCAGCGAACGUAUCACCCAAGACAACUUUACGGAGUUGACGAUUGACGGAGCGAAGCGACGUCAAAGCGUUCAUUAAAGUCGAGUUGGCUUAGGGAUACGUUCGUUGGGUAGGGGAGCGUUCUGUAAGCCUGUGAAGGUGUGUCGUGAGGCAUGCUGGAGGUAUCAGAAGUGCGAAUGCUGACAUAAGUAACGAUAAAGCGGGUGAAAAGCCCGCUCGCCGGAAGACCAAGGGUUCCUGUCCAACGUUAAUCGGGGCAGGGUGAGUCGACCCCUAAGGCGAGGCCGAAAGGCGUAGUCGAUGGGAAACGGGUUAAUAUUCCCGUACUUGGUGUUACUGCGAAGGGGGGACGGAGAAGGCUAUGUUGGCCGGGCGACGGUUGUCCCGGUUUAAGCGUGUAGGUGUGUGUUCCAGGUAAAUCCGGUUCACUUUAACACUGAGGCGUGACGACGAGGCACUACGGUGCUGAAGCAACAAAUGCCCUGCUUCCAGGAAAAGCCUCUAAGCAUCAGGUAACACGAAAUCGUACCCCAAACCGACACAGGUGGUCAGGUAGAGAAUACCAAGGCGCUUGAGAGAACUCGGGUGAAGGAACUAGGCAAAAUGGUGCCGUAACUUCGGGAGAAGGCACGCUGACAC
rnacentral:rRNA from 1 species